rnacentral:rRNA from 1 species
GACGAACGCUGGCGGCGUGCUUAACACAUGCAAGUCGAGCGGAGCGGCGGACGGGCGAGUAAGGCGUGAGUAACUGCCCCCCUCUCUGGGAUAACAGUUGGAAACGGGUGAUAAUACCGGAUAGUGGGGGAUGGCUGGGGGCCUAUCAGCUUGUUGGGGGGGUAGUGGCCUACCAAGGCGACGAGGGGUAGCCGGCCUGAGGGGGGGAACGGCCACAUUAGGCUGAGUUACGGCCCAGACUCCUACGGGGGGCAGGGGUGGGGAAUAGUGCACAGUGGGGGAAAGCCGGUUGCAGCAACGCCGCGUGCGGAAUGUCUGCCUUCGGGUUGUAAACCGCUUUCAGCCAUGACGCGGUAGUGGCAGAAGAAGCACCGGCUAACUACGUGCCAGCAGCCGCGGUAAUUC